GACUCCGUGGCGCAACGGUAGCGCGUCUGACUCCAGAUCAGAAGGUUUAGUGAUCAAAUCACGUCGGGGUCG
rnacentral:tRNA from 1 species